rnacentral:lncRNA from 1 species
ACCAUUACAGGGAAUCAUUGCAGAAAAUGAUUAAAAAAAUUCUGAGCUUCUUCUCCUGUAAAUGAACAAAUUCAUUUAUUUGUUCAAUAAAACAUAUAUUCGAGGUCUACUGAUGACAGUCCCAGAGGAUACAAAGAUGAAUCAGAGCUCAUUUAUGCUUUCAGGGGGAUCAUGGAGGAAUAAUCAGGUCAAAAACCAAUGAUACCACAACUCAUAGAUGUUCCAAUAGAGGACACAGGUGGGCAGACAGACAGACAGACACACAGACAAAAGUAAUAGAGCACGAGUACGAUAAUUCUCCUUCAGCUAGAGUGGGAAUCAGUCAGGCAAUACUUCACAGAGGAGAUAGUGUUUGGUUUUAGUGAAUAAUGUCUAAUUCCUUUCUGGCUAGACCUCUUCUCCCUUCCCGGAACUGGAACCAAGAACUUCACUCUGUGGCUUAACUUGAGACGGAAUGCUUCUGCAAUUCAUGAUACCAAAAGAGAACUGUAGAGUGUAACGAUAUUGGAGAUGACGUGUUCCAGAUAAUAGGAUUACUACUAAUACUACACUGAGAAGAGAAAUGUAAACACUUACAUUAACAUUAACUAAAAAGCAGGCUACCCAGCAGUAUGCGUGCUAUAAUACCAAGUUUUGUUUGUACAUGCAGGAGAAAGUUGGGCAUGGAUACCCACAGGAAGAAUGCCACGGAAAAAUGAAGGCAGAGAUGGAGGCGAUGCUUCUGCAAGCGGAGGAUUACCACAGAUUGCCAGCAAACCAGCAGAAGCUAGGACAGAGGCAUGGAACUGACUUUCCCUAACAGCCCUCAGAAGGAAGUAACCCUAUGCACAUCCUGAUCGUGGACUUCUAGCCUUGAGAACCGUGAGACGAUAAAUUUCUAUAGUUUAAGCCACCUGGUCUGUGGUACUUUAUUAUGGCAGCCCAAGCAAACACAUACAGUUAGCUUGAGAGGAAAUGGCCUGAAGACAAAGGGGAUGUGUGGAGGAUGCAAAGCGGAAAGUGAAAACAUAGUCUGGGGUGACAUCCUUAGCAGCUAAACUAACAAGCAUCCUCCUUGAAGCCCCUCUUGCUGGGACUUCAUAUGUCUAAUAGUCACUUUGCCUAGUUGUGCAAACCCUUUUGAGUUGCUUUCCAUUACUAGCAAUUAAAGUGAGCUAACUGAUUCAGCCCUCCCCAGUGUUCCCUUUUGUAAUCCAAAUUCUGGGGUCCAACCCUGCCCCCUGACCAACCUCCUCUACUGGUUCCCCAGGUGUUUCUUUAUACGUCUAAACUCAAGAGGAGUCAUCCAAUAUUUGUCUUUCUAUGACUGGAUUAUUUCACUUAGCAUAAUGUCCUCCUGGUUCCUCCAUGUUCUCGUAUAUUGCAGAAUUGCCUUGAUUUUUUAAGGCUGCAUAAUAUUUCAUCAUAUGUAUGUAGCACAUUUUCUUUAUCCAUUCCCCCAUCAGUGGACACUUAGGUUGUUUCCAUAUCUUGGCUAUUGGGAAUAAUGCUGCUAUGAACAUUGGAGUGCUAAUAUCUCUUCAAGAUCCUGAUUUCAAUUCUUUUGGAUAAAUACCCAGAAGUGAGAUUGCUGGAUCAUAUAGUAGUUCUAUUUUUAAGUUUUUGAGGAAACUUCAUACUGUUUUCCAUAGUGGCUGCCAACCAUUUUGCAUUCCCACCAGCAGUGCACAAGUGUCCCAAUUUCUCCACAUUCUUGUCAGCACUUGUUGUCUUCUGCUUCGGCAUAAUUCCAUUCAUCUAAAGGUGUCUUAUCUAGAAGUAUCUAAAAUAGUCAAAAUCAUAGAAUCAGAGUAGAAUGGCACUUGCCAGGGCAGGGGAGAGGGGGAAAUAGGGAGUUGCUAAUCAAUGGGCAUGAAGUUUCACGUAAGCAAGAGGAGUACGUUUUAGAGCUCUGCUGUGCAACACUGUACCUACAGUUAACAACACUCUACUGGACACUUAAAAAUGUGUUAAGAGGGUAGAUCUCAUGUUCACUAUUCUUACAACAAUAAAAAAACCCAAGAAGAAAAGAGGGCUAAAUCAUCUUUUCGCCCAAGAGAUUCCCAGCUUUAACUCUCCUCGUCAGGAGGAGUCAACCCGAGCCUUGCCCACUGUUAGGGCAUUUAGAGAGCCGCAUUUUAUGAGAGAAGCCUAUACAUGCAGACCUGUUGGUUGGUUCUGUCACCGUGAUGCAUUCUCUACCUACUGGUGCUUUAGGAGAAAGAAAAGAAGCAGUCCCAGGCCUGUGCUCCAGCUCCUCACUUUGCGGAGUUGGCUUUUGGGCCUGGGAUCUCUAGAACUGAGGUACCCCUUUCUUUAUUCUGCUUUGGUGGAGAGAAGGUUCGGUGAGGUUGGGAGGUUGGAUGUAAUUGCCAAGAGAAAGAGAGAAAAGAAAGAUGCUUAAGGCCACUAGGCCUGAGAAAUCAAAGAAGGUGAUUCCCCUGGCUUUGAAGUGAGCAUUGUGCCUGAAGCCUGGCCUCUGGAACUCCCUGUGCUGCACGGCCCAGUUACUGAGGCUAGCUGUCUCUGCACAGGCAGUACCUGUGGGGCUGGGACACUAAACAGCUUCUGCCUUUUGCUGAUGUAACAGUUAAGACUCCUGUGGCUUUCUUAUCUUCAUGUGGCUUCCCCUGUGUCUUAUAAGUUCGCACUUCCCCAGGGGACCAUGAUAUGAACUUGGGGAAGAGGCUAAUUGCUCACCUAAGCUAUCCAGACCCUGAUUUCCAGGUGGAAUUCUGAAUUGGCUGUCCUGCUUCCAUCUGUGAUAUGGGUCACGGGCUCGAACAACUUCCUGAUGUUCACCGUGUGAUGGUGGUGUGGGCUCCCAUCUUCUUUACUCAUUCAUGGGAGACACGGCGGAGGGUCGAUUUUCAGGGAAGGACGUUUUUGAAGGUGGUGUUUUUCUGCCAGUGAAUAAAGAAUGGGAAGUGUCUUCCUCGAACGCUUUGUUUAUCACAGCUGAAAUGAGUGACUUGUGAGGUAUCCUCACAGAGCCUGUGAAGCUAAAGAACUUUCUUACAAAGGACUCAGAGGGUGCAAAGAAACUAGACCAUCCUUCCACCUGGUUUUAAAAUAUAGAACUGACCAUUCCUAUUUUAAAAUCAGUAUAAAAAUAGGUAAUAUUGAGUAGAGCUCGUUUUAUUAAAUAUAACAUUUGUGUUUUUUAGUGCUGGUCUAUUGUCGAUCAAUCAAUAAGUAUUAGCCAUUAAGUGCUUCUGUUUUCAGUUAUAAGUUAUCUAUUUCAUUCGCCACUUACAUUGCC